CACACUCAUAUUAACUUUACCGGAUAAAAAUAAGAUGCUGAUUCCUUAUUUAGCCAUCGCGGGUGGAGCAGUCUUGAUUCUGAUGAUACUAAUAACAGUGGGAGUGUUCAAGAAAUGCAGGGGGAGAUCAGAGGCUGUGUCUUCAUCUCAAAUGCACACCAUUGAGGUC